UACGUAGGGUGCGAGCGUUAAUCGGAAUUACUGGGCGUAAAGCGUGCGCAGGCGGUUUUGUAAGCCAGAUGUGAAAUCCCCGGGCUUAACCUGGGAAUGGCAUUUGGGACUGCAAGGCUGGAGUUUGGCAGAGGAGACUGGAAUUCCUGGUGUAGCAGUGAAAUGCGUAGAUAUCAGGAGGAACACCGGUGGCGAAGGCGGGUCUCUGGACAGUUCCUGACACUGAGACACGAAGGCCAGGGGAGCAAACGGG
rnacentral:rRNA from 1 species